rnacentral:ncRNA from 1 species
CUGUUUUGUGGACAUUAACAUGUCCGCGUAGGCAUAAUGUACCAAGACAUAUUAUGUAUAUCGUACAUUAAUUGAUAGUCCCCAUGAAUAUUAAGUA